AUGGAAUCUCUGCGGGCCCCCACAGUCUAUCCCAUAUUCUCUUGCUGCGGUCCUGAGGACAAGGAUAAUCAGGCAGGAAAGGCCCUCGCCUGCCUCGUGACAGGCUACCUUCCAGAGCCAGUGGAUGUCAAGUGGAAUUCUGGCAAAGUGACUCAGGGGAUCACGACUUUCCCAGCUGUUCUGGGCAAAGAUGGAGACUUCACCCUCACCAGCCAGCUCACCAUCCCUGCCAGCAGCCUGGAGAGCGGUGUCUACCAGUGCGAUGUGGAGCAUAGAGCUUCAACUACUUUCCUGUCUAAGGCGUUCCCUCAGCAAACAUGUAGGGGGGGUUUGCCCGCUCCACCCCAGGUUCAUCUCCUGCCCCCAUCCUGCAAUGACAACUCUUGGGAGAAGCAGCUGGGGCUGGUUUGUCUCCUCCUGGACUUCAUCCCUGGCCAAGCCAAUGUGGAAUGGCUCAUGAAUGGGGUGAAGAAGAACCUCCCUGGCAUGGGCUUCUCCUCUGCAAAGGGCACAGGUGGCUUGCACAUGGGGCAGAGUCGAGUGAACAUCACCAGGGAGAGCUGGGAUAAUGGCGAUGUCUACACAUGCAAAGUCACCCAUCCAGCACUGGACAAAGAAGACUUGAUGCUGAAUGUGAGCAAGUGCUCAGAGAUCAGCCUGCACUGGGAGCACAAGGGUGUGAAAGUGUUCCCUUCCCAGUACACCAACGGGUCCAUCAUUAGGACUGGCCAGACAUUCUCCACUCACAGCCUCCUGCGGGUGCCCCAGCUGGAAGGGGAAAGAGCUACAGUGUCUGACUAUUCCUGUGUGGUGCAGCAUGUGGCUUUGGAUGACACCUUGAAGGUCAAUGCGUUGACAGGAGAGGGUCCCUGCAAGCCCCUGCAAGUGGAGGUUUUUCUCCGCCCCCCUUCCCUGGAGGACCUCUAUCUUGCCAAGAAUGCCACCAUCACCUGCCUGGUCAUCAACAUGGAGACAACUAGCAGUUUGGAGAUCACGUGGAACCGUACAAGUGGAGGCAGGCUGGAUGUGGUGUUGACAAAACCAGUUUUUCAAAGAAAUGGCAGCUACAGUGUUUCCAGUGCCCUGUGGGUGCAUCUGGAGGAAUGGAAGUCUGGGGAGGAAUUCACCUGCAUGGUGAAACACCAAGAUAUCCCAUCAGCCAUCGUUAAAACAGUGCACAAGAGUCAGGAAGUCUCAACCCGGGCCCCUUCUGUGUACAUUUACCCUCCUCAUGUGGAUGAGCUGGCCCUUCGGGAAUCAGCCACUGUGACCUGCUUGGCCAAAGGCUUCCGCCCCAGUGACAUCCUGGUGACAUGGACCCAGCAGGACCAGCCCAUGCCCCAGAAAGCCUUCAUCAACAUUGGCCCCUUCCAAGAAACCAAGGAGAAGGGGACAACCUACUUUAUCUACAGCAAGCUCAGUGUCCCAGCAUCACAGUGGCAGCGGGGAGACACGUUUGCCUGUGUGGUGGGCCACGAAGGUUUCCCGAUGACCUUUGUCCACAGGAGUGUGGACAAAUCCUCUGGUAAACCUACUGCUGUCAAUGUCUCUGUGAUCUUGUCUGAUACUGAUGUCAGCUGCUACUAAGAAGGCAGUGCCUUGUAGCCUGUAUGUAAAGCAGAAGG